rnacentral:rRNA from 2 species
GGCCAUGGGGGGGGGCUACACAUGCAGUCGAACGAUGAUGCCCAGCUUGCUGGGUUGAUUAGUGGCGAACGGGUGAGUAAUACGUGAGUAACCUGCCCUUGACUCUGGGAUAAGCCUGGGAAACUGGGUCUAAUACUGGAUACUACCUUUCAUCGCAUGGUGGGGGGUGGAAAGGGUUUUACUGGUUUUGGAUGGGCUCACGGCCUAUCAGCUUGUUGGUGGGGUAAUGGCUCACCAAGGCGACGACGGGUAGCCGGCCUGAGAGGGUGACCGGCCACACUGGGACUGAGACACGGCCCAGACUCCUACGGGAGGCAGCAGUGGGGAAUAUUGCACAAUGGGCGAAAGCCUGAUGCAGCGACGCCGCGUGAGGGAUGACGGCCUUCGGGUUGUAAACCUCUUUCAGUAGGGAAGAAGCGAAAGUGACGGUACCUGCAGAAGAAGCGCCGGCUAACUACGUGCCAGCAGCCGCGGUAAUACGUAGGGCGCAAGCGUUGUCCGGAAUUAUUGGGCGUAAAGAGCUCGUAGGCGGUUUGUCGCGUCUGCUGUGAAAGCCCGGGGCUCAACCCCGGGUCUGCAGUGGGUACGGGCAGACUAGAGUGCAGUAGGGGAGACUGGAAUUCCUGGUGUAGCGGUGAAAUGCGCAGAUAUCAGGAGGAACACCGAUGGCGAAGGCAGGUCUCUGGGCUGUUACUGACGCUGAGGAGCGAAAGCAUGGGGAGCGAACAGGAUUAGAUACCCUGGUAGUCCAUGCCGUAAACGUUGGGCACUAGGUGUGGGGGACAUUCCACGUUUUCCGCGCCGUAGCUAACGCAUUAAGUGCCCCGCCUGGGGAGUACGGCCGCAAGGCUAAAACUCAAAGGAAUUGACGGGGGCCCGCACAAGCGGCGGAGCAUGCGGAUUAAUUCGAUGCAACGCGAAGAACCUUACCAAGGCUUGACAUUCACCGGACCGCCUCAGAGAUGGGGUUUCCCUUCGGGGCUGGUGGACAGGUGGUGCAUGGUUGUCGUCAGCUCGUGUCGUGAGAUGUUGGGUUAAGUCCCGCAACGAGCGCAACCCUCGUUCUAUGUUGCCAGCACGUGAUGGUGGGGACUCAUAGGAGACUGCCGGGGUCAACUCGGAGGAAGGUGGGGAUGACGUCAAAUCAUCAUGCCCCUUAUGUCUUGGGCUUCACGCAUGCUACAAUGGCCGGUACAAAGGGUUGCGAUACUGUGAGGUGGAGCUAAUCCCAAAAAGCCGGUCUCAGUUCGGAUUGAGGUCUGCAACUCGACCUCAUGAAGUCGGAGUCGCUAGUAAUCGCAGAUCAGCAACAAUGCGGUGAAUACGUUCCCGGGCCUUGUACACACCGCCCGUCAAGUCACGAAAGUUGGUAACACCCGAAGCCGGUGGCCUAACCCCUUGUGGGAGGAGCCGUCGAAGGUGGAACGUGUA